rnacentral:lncRNA from 1 species
UCUGCUUCUUCAAAGAAAUACCCACAAUAAGGUAUGUCUCUUUCUUUUUUCUUUUUCUUUUUUUGUGUCUUCAUAAAUUAUAUAUUGUUCUUAAUUGUUAAUGCAUUGCCAGGUUUGGGCAAAAGGAUUUGUGGGUUUUAAUGGGGUUUUUCUUUUCAUUUAGAGUUUAUCAAGAAUUUGAUUGAUUUUGAUUUUCUUUCUCAUUUUUGCAGAACCUAUGUUUAUUUAAGUUUAAAUUAUUAAUAUUGAAAAUUAAUUAAGUAAUUUUUCUAAGUAUCUGUUGAGUUUUGUUGUUAACCUGCUAAUGUGAUGUUACAGUGAAGAUUAUUUAUUUAUUUCUAUUGACAAGUUUAGUUUAGAUUAAUGCUAAUACAUGUGAAAAGAUGGGUAUUGAAAGACAUGAUUCUUAAGAGUUGUAAUGUAAAUAUUAUCUUUGAAUUAGCCUGUACUCCAACUAGUUUUGGAUAAAAUAUUAAAAUGCAUUGUUGAAUUGAGUUUAUUUAACAUUGCCUUUGAGUCUAUGAAGUGGUUGACACUGUAUUGUGCAGGGUUUGAUUUUUAACGAAAAAAUUGGGGUCAACUUCCAAAAGUUUAUUUCUUUUAAUCAAAUAUGGAUUCACAGAAAAGGGAUCAUGGUCAAAAUUGAGUGUUUGGUGGUUGGUACUAUCAAAAGAAAGCAAUUAAAGGCUCUUAAAUAUAUUAUAAUGAAGAAUGCCUUGCAAUUGUACAAUCUUCCAAUAUAAUAGAUGACUAUUAACAAGAUUAUAUGUCAUGGUAAUGAGGGUGAUUACCAUACAAUUAUGCUAAAAAUUGGGGUGUUGUUAGAAAAUAUCUCUUGCAUUGAUUGUCCUUAAGGAAGCUGGAGUCAUGACUAAUAGUCUAGCGCUCUUGUUCUUCCCCAUAAUUUUUUUUGCGCCCAGAAUCAUCCAAGGUUAUUUUUUCCCAUACUUGUUUGUGUGAUUUUUGAUAACAUUCAAAAUAUGUGAACAAGUAGCAGUUGGUUUUGGUACAAGUGAACAAUACAAUUAUUCACUUUGAUUAGUUUUCCACCAUCUUUCAUCAGUGUAUCUCAGAGAAUGUAUUUUGCGAAGAGCAGAUGUUCUCUUCAAGAUCUAUCCACAUUUCACAUUUAUUGAAUAAACAAGAUUUAAAGUACUUCUAACAAGAAACUUCUAUUGAUAUGUUUAGUCUAAAUAUGACGGAAGUCGAUACAGGAAGUUCACGAUCCAACGAGAAGCGACCUGUGGGAUGUACCACACUGAGAAACGAAUCGAAAAAUCCUGCAGAUAAUGGUGGAAGCAGUCCUGUGUUUAUUAAUCAUGGUAAUAAUUGUUAGAUAAAAUAGUAGUAUCACAGCAUAAGAUUUUCCCUGUUUCGAUAAUUGCAUUAAAGAAUCAUCAAAGCUAAUUUAUUUGGCGUAUUUGAGUUAAAGUUGCUAAGAUUUUGCAGUAAUGUACUUGCAUAACAGAUCAGAUUUCAUGGACUUAUCAACCGCUCUCUUACUAGACUUCCAUGAUCAUAUUUAGUUUGCUUUCCUCAAGAUUUUUCCUAUAAAAGCAACAAGAUCUUUUUGCCAAAUUACCAUCAUUACACCCUCCCAACACGAAUUCAAUUGCCAGUAACAUUUUCUGUUUGCCUCGUAAAUUCCGGGAAAAUUGACUAUAGAAAACUGGAUGAUUACUGAUGUAUCCAAUCUCGUUCCCCUUCCUAUUUAUCUCUCUUCUCCACUUUCCUGCAAAGCGAACUACGUGCUUGGUCAUCCUGAACAAAGUUUUUUUGUGAAAUGUUUAAUGAUGAAUUAUUUUGGUGGUGUCAUCGCAGAGACAUUGCGUAAGAGAUGACAAAGUGAAUGUUAGGAUGCCAUGCUGCAACAUUUUCAGCUUUGUAUUAGAGGGUUGGGACUAUAUUUGCAGCUUUCAUUGAGAACUUUCUCCUUGUCAUCUUAGAUUGUCAAUUACUCCCUGUGUUCCACAAAAAAUUGUUUUAAAUACACUUUCAACACAAAUUAAGAAACUUAAAGUAGAUGAGAGAGUAGAAGUUAAGUUCCAUUUUUACCCAUAGUGGACCCCACAUAAGUGCAAUAGUGAAUCAUUUUUCUUCUUAAAAUUAGUGGACCCACCUAAGUACUUUUGAGUUUUGAGGGUAAAGUAAUUGAUAUUGGACAAUCUCGCGCAACAUGGUUGGACCAAUACAAGAGACUUUGGAAGUCUAAUAUUGUUUGCAAUGGCUACGAAUUUGGCCAGAUAUUGUGGUAAUUACAGAAUGAUAGGAGAAACAAAUUUGCAUAUAGAUAUUUAGUUACUUUUAAGCUUUUACGUGACCUCUAAAAAUAAUACAGCAUAAUAGUAAUCUGUGAAAUGUAUUACGUAGCUGUAAUUGCUUGGCAUGAGAGCAGAAGAAAAUGGAUUGGAGAUCCAUCUCAAAGAUCGCAGAGGACAUCAAAAGAUCCAAUUAUAAGGUACACACCUUUAGCCAACAACAUUUUCUUAGUGCCACUAAUUUUAAUUUGAUGUAUAAUUUUUUUUUGAUGCAGUGAUGUUUUAUAUUUGUUUGAAAUAUAAUAUACAUCUCCUUGCUGUAGUUGUACUAUGCCCUGUUUCCUGAAUACUUUCCACUUCCUGAUGGAACCAGUUGCAUUCACAAUAACGAUUUGUAUAGUUAUAUAGGUUACAAAAAAUAAUAGAAAGCUGCCAUUAUGCAGUGUGGUACAACAAAUGUGAAGUACUGGAAGACAGUAUUAUUUGCAUAAAGGUGUUGCUUGCUUGAAUCCAUGUAACUCUUGUCAGCCCAAGUUUCUAUAUCAUUGCAGCAAUAAACUUCCUCCAAAGAAUAGGUUUUCUAUAUAUAGAUUCAGAAAUAAUUGAAUUACUGUUGGUAUAUCAUAGAGUGGGGAGCUAUAAUCUGUAAUAGUUUGGAAGCACGGUUAGCUUGGUUUAUUACCAUAAGAGAGUUCAGAAUGGAGAUUUUAACUAGGAAUUAGCUGGGGAAUGUAAUACACUGUUGAGAAAUCAGGCUCACACAAAUACAAUAUGAUAAACACAAACAGACUACUGUAUGAGAUAUAAAUUAAUAAUAUCAGAAUUUUACGUGGAAACCCAACUGAAAAAAACCACGGGGAGAGAUCUCAUAAAAUCACUAAGAAAAUAAUAUGGAGAUUACAAACUCUCAACUCUAACUGAGCUUUUCUACUCUCUCGGAUUCUUUGCUCCUCAACUGAUGGUGUAUUUUAGUUGCUCAUCAGAGCAUUCUAUUUAUAGAACAAACUCAGGAGACAUACUCCCUUAAAUUAAGGAGCAAAGUUUGAAAACUUUGCUGAUAAGGUGGCUCCCAUAGGAGAUUUCAUGGAACAAAUUAAGAAUAUUUGCUUUGACAAGAAGACUGUGAAAUCUCCUUAUUCCAAGACUUUGAUGUACAUGCAUUUAUUGGGGUUCCGACUCACAAACCAAAAUGGGAGUCAAUAUUCAACACACUCAAUGUGAAAUAUUUUCUUAUGUAAAGCCUAAAGGAAAGAAGUAUACAUCUUCAUGUCAAGUUUGGACUGUCGCUCCUCGACCGACAGAUGAACAUAACCUGGACAACCAAAGAUUUUCAUCACAAAAAAAUCAACUGGUUUCCCACUCCAUACCUCUUCGGGGAUUUUGUAAUCAAUUCCAGCUGAAGGAAAUCGAUUUAUCAUAUAACAAACUGUGUUGAGUGCCUCAACCCAAAAAUUCUUGGGCAAACCUGCAUUCAACCUUAUACAUCUGGUACGUUCCAAUAGAGUUCUGUUCAUCCUCUCUGCAACCCUAUUUUUCUCUGGAGUUCUUUUAACUGAGAAGUGUCUAGUGAUACCUUCAUCUUGGCAGAACUAUAGGAAUGACAUGUCCUUGUAUUCCAUAAUUAUCUGAUCUAAAAUACUUUAGCAUAUUUUCGGUCUGAUUUUUUACUUUAGUUUUUCACUGCUUAAAGAUUCUGAAAACCUCAGACUUCUGCUUCAUAAAAUACACCCUACACCUUUCUGGAGUAGUCAUCUAUGAAGCUGACAAAAUAAUGGGCUCCACCCAUUGAUGUAUGCUUGAUCGGGCCCCAAACAUUUGAAUGUACAUAAUCAAGUACAUUCUUACUGGUAUGUGCUCUUGCCUUGAAGCUUACCCUCUGUUGUUUGCCGUACAUGCAAAACUUGCAAAAUUCUAAACUGCACGUUUUGACACCUUUCAACAACUGCCUUUUGUGAAGUUUUUUUAUUCCACCUUCACUCAAAUGACCAAGUCGUAUGUACCAUAAUUAUGUGCCAUCACUGUUGGAAUUAUCCUGUACAGAAAUUGCUGCUCCACCAGUAACUGUGUCUCCUAUCAACUUAUAGAGGGUGCCCUUUUUUUGGCCUUUCAUAAUUACCAUUGAACCUUUGGAAAUUUUCAUGACACCAUCUCUGACUGAAAUACUACAGCCUAUAGAGUCAAGUACUUCAACCGAUAGCAAACUCUUCUUCAAUUUUGGAAUAUAUCUUACAUCACCUAAUAUUCUGACGACACCGUCAAACAUUUUAAUUUCAAUGGUGCCUAUCCCAGCAGCUUUGCAGGUUGCAUUGUUAACCAAUAGAAAUGUACCGCCAUUGCAGGAUGCAAAAGUAUCAAACCAAUCCCUGUGAGGGGACAUAUGAAAAGAACAACCGGAAUCUAUGUACCAAUAUAUAAGGUUGCUACUGUUAGAUAAGAGAUCACCUUGUGAAGCUUCAUUUUCUGUUACUGUGUAUAGCUCUCCAUCGCUGCACACAUUGCUCAGCAACAUUAGCAGAAUUAUCAAUCUACUUACCUUUCUUCUUGUUUUCUUUCUUCAACAAUGGACACUGAUUUUUGUAGUGCCCUUUUUCGUGGCAAUGAUACACUCAAUUUGAGAUUUAUCCUUCUUGUCUGGUCUCGACUGAGACCUUCCUCGUUCCUUGUCGGAAUUCUUCUUCCGAUUAGGACCCUUUCCACGCCCAUAUGAAAAUACAAGAAGACUGUCUCCUUGAUUUCUGGAAGUAAUGUUUGCGAACUUAUUCUUGUCCAGGAUUGCUGACAUCACAUCGUCAACUGCAAGCUUUUCUUUCCCUACAAGGAGAGUAUUAUGGAGAGUUGAGUAUGAAUAUGGUAAAGAGACAAGAAGUAAUAAGACUUUAUCUUCUUCGUCCAGCUUCACAUCUGGUCAGCUGGGUCACCAAUCUAUUAAACUCAUUAAUAUGAUUUGUCAAAUCUGAACCUUCUUCCGUUCGAAGCCGGUACAAUUUUUUCUUCAAAUAUAAUCGAUUUGACAGAUACUUCGACUUGUAAACUUUCUCAAGUUUCUCCCACAAGCUCUUCAGAGAGGUUUAUGUUAAAACCCGAUAUUUGAUCUGUGGCGCCAAACUCAAUUUGAUUGUUGCCACGACCUUUGCUUCAAGUUUUGCCCAUUUUUCUUCUGUCAUAUUUGUUGGUUUCUUCUCAUUCCCUUCUAGUGCCUUUGUCAGAACCAAUACAUCUUUGACCGUACUCUAUCAAAUACUGAAAUUUGACUUUCCAUCAAAUGGUUCAACAUGGUGUCUCAUACUUGUGUUUGUCGUCUUUGUAUUUAUGACAUGCGAGUUUUUUCAAUAAACAGAUGGUACCAGUUGGCCGGGUAAGUGUAAGUCGGGUGGGAGUCUCUCCGUGCUUUUGCAACGGUGACUAAUUAAAUAACAACCUUUCUUAAAAGCGUUGUCUUUUGAACCACUUUCCUAGACACCAACGACGUGAACCAAAAGCUUUGAUACCAAUUGUUUAGAAAUCAUGCUCACACAAAUACAAUAAGAUAAACAUAAACACACUCCUGUAUGAGAUAUAAAAUAAUAACACCAGAAUUAUACGUGGAAACUUAACUGGAAAAAACCACGGAGAGAGAUCUCAGAAAAUCAUUAUGAAAAUAAUAUGGAGAUUACAAACUCUCAAUUGAAAAAUAAACUCUCUACACCCUCACACUCAGAAUGCUCUAACUGAGCUUUUCUACUCACUUGGAUGCUUUGCUCCUCAACUGAUGGUGUAUUUUAGUUGCUCAUCAGAGCAUUCUAUUUAUAGAACAAACUCAGGAGACACACUCCCUUAAAUUAAGGAGCAAAGUUUGAAAACUUUGCUGAUAGGUGGAUCCCAUAGGAGAUUUCACAAAUUAAGAAGAUUUGCUUUGACAAGAAGACUGUGAAAUCUCCUUAUUCCAAGACUUUGAUGUACAUGCAUUUAUUGGGGCUCCCACUGAAACCAAAAUGGGAGCCAAUAUUCAACACACUCAAUGUGAAAUAUUUUCUUAUGUAAAGCCUAAAGGAAAGAAGUAUAUCAGAAACUCUACAAAGGAGUUUAGGAGAGAUCUUGGGUGAUCACUUGUCACAGUAACUAGGUGGAGAACCUGGUUAAAGGGGAACUGCUGCAUCUAUUUGUCUCUCUCUCUCUCACACACACACUCUAGUUAGUCUUUUGUAUUUGAUGAUAAAGAUUGAAACCUUGAAUUUAAAAUAAACUUCAAACAUAUGUUUCAUCGUGGACCACUUGUCGAGAUUUUUUUUUUCAUUUCCAACCAAAAACAGUUCCUUAAUCUUUCUCUCUCUUAUGGACACAUAUAAAAACACAUUUAUGUCUUUAGAAAAUGCAUCCCUUGUAUUUACAAUUAAUUUCAUCUAUAUACAUAUCAUCUUCAAGCGCUUAAUAAUGUAAAAGUAAUCUUGAACCAAAAUGAUGGCUAAGGUUGAUUUUACUGAUGAAGAGGAGUUUUCUAAUAACCAAUCUCUUAUACAAGGAAUUGGCUUACAAACUUGCGUUAGAGGUAGUUAUCCGGAAAGAAGAUUCCACUUGGUCCAAUAGAAGGAUGUCAAUCAAAUGACGAAUAUAUACUAAUUUCCUUAAUCUUAUAUAGUUCGUAUUAACUAUUAAACUCUUGAUAUUGUAGUAAGAUGUUAACUCUAUCCAAUUUAAAGUAUGGAGUUAGGUUGGAGAAAACUUAAGUUUCUGACGAUGGAGCAGUAUUUGAUAUGAUAUGCACAGUGACGAAGCCAGGAUUGAUUGGCAGUGGGGUCAAUAAUUAGAGUAUCAGACAAUAAAUUAAAAUUGAUAAUUAUAGUAACAAAAAACGACUCAAAUAUAUAGCCACAAAAAUAUAAUAUGUCAUUGUUGUAUCCAUCAAACUUAUCCACAAAAAUAACUAGUAGAAUUAGAAUAUAAUAAUUACAAUUUCCCUCUGCGUGUUUUCAUUCGUUGAAAUCGUUGCAUAUUACUUUCAUUGUCAAUGCAAUCAAAUGCAUCCUUCUUGAUGUAUGUAAUUAAGCAAUCAUUCAUCAGUUGAUCUGCCAUAGAAUUGCGCAACCUACUCUUAAUUAUCUUCAUCGCAGAAAAAGCUCUUUCAACAGUAGCAGUCGCAACAGGUAAGAUUAAUGCCAACUUUAGAAGCCCAUAUACUAAAGGAAAUACAAUAUGUUUCUUAGUACCUACGAGCUUUCUUGCAAGACAGCUAAUCCCUUGAACUUCCAAAAACUCUUGAUUUGUCCGCAUAUUAGAAAUGUAAUUAUCUAGUUGACUAUCAAGUUUCAUAAGAUCCAUUGGAGAAAAGUCAUUUGAAUAAAUGCUAGCGAGAUGAAUCAAUUUGUCCUUAUCAAAAUGAGCGAAACAAUCACUAGGAUUUAAGCAUGCCACUGAUAAAAACAAGUCAGUACUUGCUUCCGUAAAACGAUCAUUUAAUUCUUGAAGUUGCCAAUCCAAAACAGUACAAAAUAUCUCAACAUAAUAAUGGUGAAAAUUUGUAAUACCUUGAGAUUUUCGACUUGAUCUCCCAUGGAAUAAAGCAUUCAUAUCUAUAAUGUCAAUUUUGUGUUUGUUGCAAAAUAAACAAACUUCAUCAAGUAGUUUCUCCCAUCCCUCAUCUCUCAUAACCUUCAAUAGUUGCUUAGACACUUUAACUAAUUCCAUAGCAUUUACAAUGUCUUGAUCCUUUCUUUGCAAUGCUUGUGAUAAUUCAUUUGUAAUUCCCAAUAUCUUUCUCAUCAAUAUUAGAUCAAAUGCAAAACCAAAUGAUUGCAAUGACUCUAAUAAACCAAAAGCAAUACCUUUUUGUUGGUAUACCAAACCAUCAUCUGAAACCUCCUCAAGUACAUCAAUCACUGAGGAGAACAUAAGAAUCAAGUUCAAAAGUGUCUCAUAAUGUGAUCCCCAACGUGUGUCACCUGCCCGUUUAAGACUAGUUUCUUGAUGCAAGCCUUUCCCACUUUGAAGUUCAUUAUUCAUCAAUGCUUUCCCGACUCUAGAAGCUUCUUUCUCUCGAAGACUAUCUCGACGCUUGCAUGAUGCUCCAACCACAUUUAACAACUCAGAAACCUUGUUAAAAAACCAAGCAAUGUGUUUAUGCUUACUAGCAACAGCUACAAUAGUUAAUUGGAGUUGAUGAGCAAAACAAUGAACAUAAAAUGCAAAAGGAUUCUCAUUCAUGAUUAAGGUUUUGAGACCAUUAAAUUCACCUCGCAUGUUACUGGCUCCAUCGUACCCUUGACCACAUAUUCUUGAUAAACUUAGUCCGUGACUUGAGAAAAAGGUCUCAAUUGCUUCUUUAAGUAAUGAAGCAGUGGUACUAGUAACAUGAACUAUACCAACAAAACGUUCAACAACACAUCCCUUUCUAUCCACAUAGCGUAAAGCUAUGGCCAUCUGUUCUUUGAUUGAAAUAUCACUAGACUCAUCAACUAAUAUUGCAAACAUAUCAUCUCCAAUAUCACUAAUGAUAGCAAUGGUAGUUUCUAUUGCAACACAAUUUAUAAUAUCUUUCUGAAUAUCACUUGACACCAAUUUCAGAUUUUUUGGAGCAUUUUGCAACACAACAUUGUUGAUACUUUCAUUGUGAUUAGCAAGAAAUUGUAGAAGCUGUAAGAAAUUUCCUCUAUUACUUGAAUCCUCAUCUUCAUCAUGACCACGAAAGGAUAACCCUUGAUGCAAAAGAAAUCUUAUGCAAUCAAGUGAUGCAUUUAAGCGAAUUCGAUAUUCAAGUCUCGUUUGUUCAGAUUGUUUAAUAAAAACAUUCUGAAUGUUUUGCUUUGGUUUCAUCAAAUCUUGACAUUUACUCCAAACUUGAUUAUGAGCACUAUUAGGCCCUCCAACAUGAAUAUCAAAUCUCUCUUUCUUGUUUCAUGUUGUGAAGCCGUUAGUAUUGAAAGAAUCACGACCCACUUGUUUUUCAGUGCCCGGCCUAAAUAGAUAGCAACAUAAGCAAAAUGCUGCAUCAAUAGCUAUGCUAUACUCCAACCAAUUUCCAUAUUCUUUAAACCAAGAGGGAUUAAAUCUACGUAAGUAUCCCCCAAUUUGAGUCUGUGGGAAGUUAUGUUUGAGAGACUGACAAGGACCCUUUAGCAUGAAUGCUCUUCUUACUUCAUCUUGAAUAUUAGGAUGAUACUUUGAUAUUUUCUUUCGCAACCCAGGGUCUGCUUCAAGAUUUCCCAAAUCUACUUUAUCAUCAUUCUUUUUCUGAUUUUUAUUAGAACACGAUUCUUCAAAUGCAGAAGCUUUUCUGAAUACAAAUUUGUCCAUAUUGGCUGUUUAAAGAAUUAAAGAUAUUAUGAACUUAAUUACAACAAAAAAAUAAAGUUGUGCCAAAUUGCCAAUUUCAUGAACUGAACUUUUGUACUCAGUACUCCUAUUAGUGAAGAAUAAGUAUGCAAGGAAAUGACAAGAAAUUCGAGGAUAACGAAAAUAUAUAGAUCUAGAAGUAUUCCCAUGAGAAAGCUCCAAAUAGAACAUCAAAUCAUCAAUUAAUGACGAAUUAUCUGCAAUAAUUAGAGAGGAGAGGGAGUUCCGGACCUGAGAGUGAAGAAUCAAGAAUGGCGAGUUAGUCUCAGGGCUCAGGCAGUCGCCAGUCAGGCACGACCGCAGUCCGCACGGCGGCACGGGUCUUCGACUCUUCGUCUUCCACUUCCAGUCUUCGUCAAUCGUAGCCUAAAGUUCUCUCUUUCUCUCUUUGUUAAUGCCGGUUUGCCCUUCUCGAGAGACUAUCGGCUAUCGCUCUAUCUGUCUAUCACUAUCAGACUAAAGUUCUCUCUCUCUUUUAGGCGGUAGGUGUUGUCAUGUUGAGUUGUUGACUGCUUUGUAUAAUAUUAAAAAAAUUUAACUAUUAUGUGGGGUCAAAAUUGUGUCAAAAAAAGGCUAACUGCUUUGUAUCAAAAAAAUUUGUAAGUGGUACCAAAAUUUGAGUGGGGUCAAUUGACCCCACAUUUAUUACAUGGCUUCGCCUCUGGAUAUGCAUGUGUAUGUGUGUGUUACUUUGACAUGGAUGUGUUUCUGUUCCCCUGUUGCUAAAUUCUAGGAUUUUGGAUUGUUACAAAAAUAUUCUGUAAAUCCAAGGUACCUACAAAUACAUCAUUUAAGCACGACUCUAGUAAUUUGAGGUUCAGUAUAUGAUUUGGUAUUUUGUUUGGACAUUAAUCUUUUGUACCCAAGUUGAGCAUAUUAUUUCCAUGAACCAUGUGCGUCUCAUUGGAUUUAAUUACUCAUGUUGAACCUCCACUAAUAUUACCAUUUUCUCAAGAAAUUGAGCUAGUUUGGGGAAUUUGUGUGGCAAGAGUUUUAAUGAAACAAGUUUAUCCAAAUUAUGAAAUAGUCUUAUGGGUAGUUGGUUAUGAUUUAGACUCAUACAUUCAACCCAAAUAAAAUUUGGGGAAUUAUCUUAUCUCCCAUCUUUUGAAUAUCAAUGUAAAAAUUGCAUUUUUACUGCGCAAAUUCAAAGUUAUUCGCUACAGUAUUUCAAAUUUAUUUCUGGAGAAAAUAGAAAAAAUAGAAUACUUUUAAUGUGCUUUUGUAUCUUCAGAGAAAAUAGGGACAAUUUUUGAACAUUUGAUUCCAUAUUAUGGGUUCAAGUUGUGGCUCCAAAUUAUGGAGAAACUUUAAGGAUCUCCCUGAACUUUAGCCUGUAACUUGUACGGGUUGCUACAAAAGUUGAGUGUUGCAUUUUGUCAGUGGACUCUAAGCCAUGCUCUACUUGUCUGGAGAGAGAUUCAGAUGUGUUUUAUGCAGCUAUGGACAACAUAGGCAUCUCUGCUUCUUACAGCCUCUAAAGUCAAAGAUGCACUUCUCAAAAGUCAGAAACAUUUUUUAGUUGAGCAUUUAAGUUGAUACUCUGCUUAGAUAAUUGGGUCUUGUUAAAAUACAAUAGGGCGAAAUUUCCCAAGAAAACAAAGUUCAUUGGUGCCUUGCCAAACACACAUUCUUGGAAGUGAGGUUUUUAACACUAACUUUACUGACUAUUUAUACUCCAACAUUUGUUUGAACUCAUAAUCUAUCAGUGAAAGAUAACUGCCACAAUCUUUUUGCGUGCAGCUGGUCAAUGACUUAUGAAGACUUGCUCUCAACUUGUGAUCCUUUCAGUGAGCCAAUCCCUUUAACUGUAAGAUAUUUUUACAAAGCAUUGUACCUUAACAUACAUAUUCACACAGACUCACUUACAGACGCAUACAAACACACACACACACACACGUAUAUAUAUAUAUAUAGAGAGAGAGAGACAUGAUCCAUACACACACACACACACACACAUAUAUAUAUAUAUAUAUCUAUAUAUAUAUAUAUAUAGAGAGAGAGAGAGAGAGAGAUGAUCCAUAGCCACCGCUGGCUAUGGAUCAUGUUCCAGUCAACCCAUCUUGCGCCAUCUGUUGCGAUGUUUAAUUGCCCAAAUUAGAAAGACCACAUUAAUUAGAUUGAGAAAUCUAAUUAACUUCACCACCCAAAACACUCUUAAGUAAUAAAGUCUGCAAUAAAGUCUUCAAGCUUUCAAUUAAACGGAAAUGGCGGUGAAAUCUCACUAGCAACAAGCUGUAAUCCUCUCAAUUUAUUCUCUCGGCACAAUAAAUUGAGAAAGUACAAAUUUACCUUUAAUUAGGUUGAGAAAUCUAAUUAACUUUACCACCCAAAACACUCCAAGCCAUAGUUAUCAAGGCGUUAAGUCGAGGCAAAGCGGUAGCCGGGAGCUUAAGCGCUUAGUCGACAAAGCGCUCGACUAGUCGUCCGCAAGUCGACAAGUCGUUAACAAUGUAAAUUUUAUACAUAUAAAAUUAUAUAAAUUUCAAUACUAAGAAUUCAAUAAUUUAUGAUAAAACAAGUAAACAAGUAUUGUUAAAAUAAAGGUAUAUACAAGCAUAUAAUAAUGAUAUCAUAUCAUAAAAUUAGACAACCAUCCUUUAUAAGAUAAAGACAUGUUCAUUGUGACAUUGCCAAAAACAAACAUAAUAUAGAAAUGAAAACAAAGUCGUAAAAAUUCAUAAUGAAAAUAUCUAUAAUUCUACAAAAUACAAUUAAACAAACAAACAAGACAUUGUAAUUUGUAAAAUUGUAAUAACAAAACAAGUAAACAACUAAACAUAGAUGACAUCAUAAAUUUAUUUAUAAUCAAGAACUACAAAAGAAAAAGGACUAAUAUGUAAUCCUAGUUGAUAACUUCUCUUUUUUGCUUUAUAUUACCAGAGUGCAUGACAUUUUACAACAUAGUAAUAAAACACAAUCCUAAUUGAUCAAUCAAUCCCUCAACUUAAUUUGUGAUCAAAAAGUACUAUUUUUAAAAAAUUAAAAUAAAAUAUUAAAUUGUUGCUUGGCACUUGCAAAAAGAAUCGUAGUUAAAUUAAUACAUAAUCAAUAACUUUGCUUCACUUUUUGUUUCUCCAAAUAUUAACUUUUCGCAACAGCAGCGACUCUCACUCCCCUCUUCAACUGAACAAAAAGUAGGAAAUAAAUAAAACAAAAUCUAGAAGUUUAUUUAUCUUAAAUCAGAGGAUGGGUUUGACGAGAAGCAGGGUAGAAGAAGAAGAGAAGAACUGAGAAUAGCUCCAUACAUGUAAACUGUCACGUCGUCGCCGCCGGAGUUAGUCGUCGCCGUCGGAGUCAGUCGUCGCCGCCGAAGUCGGUCGUCGCGCCGAAGUCAAUCGUUGCCGCCGAAGCAGGUUCGUUUCUCUCUCUCUCACUCGUUUGCGACUUGCGAUUGUUUGGAGUCAGUUGCGACUUGCGAUCGACGUUUGGGUCGACGUAAUCUCUGUUUUUCUCUUUUCGUUUCUCCUUCUCCUCUGAUGAUUGAUAACUGAAGUUCCGAGAGUGAUCGAUUAGGUUUUUUUUACUGGGUGCAUCCGAGUCGGUGUCUGAGCGCGCGCCUUUCUGCUUUCCCACCAAGUCGUCCCACCGCCUCGAAAUUUUUUACCGACUUGACGCCUAGUCGUCGCCUAGGCGACGACUAGUCGACGACUUGACAAGCAUGUCCAAGCAAUAAAGUCUGCAAGCUUUCAAUUGAACGGAGAUGGCGGCGAAAUCCCACUAUCAACAAAUUGUAAUCUUCUUAAUUUAUUCUCUCGGCACAUUCUUGCUACCGAGUUUCUCUCAUAAUAAUAAGACUUCCUCAUAGUCUUAUUUAUAGUAUAGUACUUUUCCUAAUCCAUUCCUAUUAUGGAUUGGAAAUAAUUUAUUAUUCUAAUCAAAUUAGGGUUCACAUUACUUGUCUUGAUCACCAACCAAACUAGCAAGUAAAUCAUUUUUCAACUUGAAUUCCUUUCAUGGGUGAGGACCACACCCAACAGUCUAGAAUGCAUGGAAGUUAUAAUACUGUUUAUGAACCACAUGAAUAUUCUUUGUUGUUGAGGUAAAACACGAGGGGGUAAAUGUGUCGUUUCCCCUAUAUAAAUGUCGUUGUCUCAGCUUACUGUCUUGUCAUGAUGGCUCUGUUUCUUUGAGUGAUUGCGCUUCAUAUAUAGUGGGGAACUUAUAUGACCAGAUUAAAGGAUUAUCUAAUUGUAUAAAAGUUGUGUAUGCUAAUUCGAUAUCUAUUCUCUCUUUUAAAGAGAAAAUCCAUGUUUAAUAAGGCAUCCUUUAAUUUCUACCCGCCAUUUCGCCUCUAGCAUCCUAACAUUGAAAAUUGUGAAAGGAAAUCAAGUAAAAAGCAUUAAAUAACCAUCAUGGAAGAAAAUAGAUACAUCUAUAAUGGAAAGAAAAAAAGAAGAAACACAUAACUAACUCAUUUUAUUUAUUUUCCUAUUUACUUAAACUUAUCACGGAUUUGUGCAUCUAAUAUAAAAUUAAUGAUUUUGUCGGUAUUAAGAAUUAUAGUUUCAGAUUAUUCUGUAUUUUUUUUUCUGGGAAUAUUGCUAAUUUGAAUUGACUGAUAUUUUGCAGGAGAUGGUAGAUUUUUUAGUUGAUAUUUGGCAUGACGAAGGGUUGUUUGAUUAGAUUGUCAUUUGUAGUUUGCAAUUUAGGUAGCAGUAGAAGGAAAUGCAAAUCUACACCUUCAGUUUACCAACAUCAGUCGACAUUCAAUUCUUUAACCGAUUCAUCUAACUCAUAACUUGUACAUCUGGAAAGGCCUUGAACACACUUGUUCAAGCCUAAAGGAUUAGAUGUUCAUGUCCUCAAAGUAGUUGUUGAUGUUGCCGAGUUUUAGUGAUCAACAAGUAGACAUCAUGUUGUAACAAUAGAUGGCUGAGUUCUGUCGCAGAAACUUUGAUUAUUUACUCUUUCGUUGUUUUAUCCAUUCAUUUGUAAAACAGAUUGAUGAUGAAACUUUGAAGGAUAAGCAAUAUUUAAUACUUUGUUGUUGUUGCCUUUUGGUGUUUAGGUGCAUGGAAAUGGGAAACAGUGCAAGAAAUUUCAUUUUCACGGGCGGCGAUGCAGAAUGCGACAAGUAGGCGCUUUCGACUAGAUUUCAUUUCAUUUAAAAAAUUUUUUUUUGCUAAAUUAAAUAUCAUAAUUUCAUUUCAUUUUUCUAGAGUUUUUUUCUAGUUCUAAACGUAUUGGUAAGAGAGCGUAACAAAUAGGGAAAAAACUCCGUUAAUGAUGGAAGAGGGCACCAAUAGUUCUGGGUUAGAGAAUGAAGAGGAACAUCGUGAACAUACAAAAUCAAUCCUAAGCUACAAAAAUUAAUAACAAGAAGGUUUCCCCAAAUAUAUUCCGGCCAAGUUAUCGGAAUGCCUGGUGUAAUAACAAGUACUCGAAUUUUUUUGAUAGAAUCAUGAUCCAAAGAAGAAAAAGGAUUGAUUGCAGUUAUAAUAUUUUUUUAACGUAUUUGAUUGUAUCACAAUUUUUUUGAUAGAAUUAUGAUCGAAGGAGGAUUGAAUGCAGUUUUAAUAAUUUUCCUUAACAUAUUUGAUUGUAUUUGAAGUCCUUUAAGUGUAACUUCUUGAAUAAAUAUAAUUCAACUAAAGUAUAAUGUACAAAAUAAAUAAAACUCAAUACACAUUACUAUAAAUAAAUAAUUAGUCCCAUUAAUUAGCUUAAAUAAAUAAUUAACUUUAAUAAUUUACUAGAAUAAAAUAAUUUACUUUAGCAAUUAACUUAAAUAUACAACUUCACUAAUGAACCAAUGUCAAAAUUGAAGUUUAAGUUUAAAAUCUUAGGGUUCCUUGGUGGCCACUUCUUCACUCACCAAUCAACCAAAGUU